rnacentral:rRNA from 1 species
GACGAACGCUGGCGGCGUGCCUAAUACAUGCAAGUUGAGCGCUGAAGGUUGGUACUUGUACCAACUGGAUGAGCAGCGAACGGGUGAGUAACGCGUGGGGAAUCUGCCUUUGAGCGGGGGACAACAUUUGGAAACGAAUGCUAAUACCGCAUAAAAACUUUAAACACAAGUUUUAAGUUUGAAAGAUGCAAUUGCAUCACUCAAAGAUGAUCCCGCGUUGUAUUAGCUAGUUGGUGAGGUAAAGGCUCACCAAGGCGAUGAUACAUAGCCGACCUGAGAGGUUGAUCGGCCACCUUGGGACUGAGACACGGCCCAAACUCCUACGGGAGGCAGCAGUAGGGAAUCUUCGGCAAUGGACGAAAGUCUGACCGAGCAACGCCGCGUGAGUGAAGAAGGUUUUCGGAUCGUAAAACUCUGUUGGUAGAGAAGAACGUUGGUGAGAGUGGAAAGCUCAUCAAGUGACGGUAACUACCCAGAAAGGGACGGCUAACUACGUG